UAAAAUUUAUAUUUUUAAUUAUAUUUUAUUUGUUAAUAAAUAAAUUUAUAUUAUAUGAUAAUAAAUUAAAUAAAAAAAAAUCCUCUAAAAAAAUCCGUUCCAUCCCCAAACUCAUCUGUGUCAAGUACGAGAAACGAUAUCUAUCUCCGACCUACCUAUAGCCAUUCCUAUAUUGUAUUGCAUCAAAAUUUUUAGCAGAAACUCAAUAUAGCUCCAAAAAGCCUACUAGUGGUACAGUCUUGUGCUUAAUCUAGCCGAUAGCAUCUGUGGAGUGCCUUCUACGUUUCAUAAGCGGACAAAAGGCACAUAGGGAAUAAAUUGCCAAACUUCCCUGCAAAGCAUUCCCAUGGCCAUCAUCAUGAAAUUAUACUAUCAAGCUGUUUUACAAAUGCAUCUUUUUUUCCCCUUCCAUAUGCACUUUCAAUAGUUUUUGGAUGAAGUAGCAUGCAUAGAUAAGAUGAAAUUUGCAAUCCAACAGCCUUUUCAACUAAAACCAGUUUUAGUUUUAAAAUUAAACUCUUGUUAGAUUACGCUUCAAUUUAAUUUUUUUUUAUUUUUUUUAUCAUAUCUUAAUCUUUUUAUAUUAAAUUUCGCGUGUACAUACAUGCUUCUUUCUCUUGGAAAUUAGAGCACUGAGAUAAAAAGAGAAAUGAGGCAGAAAUGUAGUGGGAGAAAACAAAGGUCUUUUAUUCUAAUACUGUUUCACACCAAGUUGAGAGUACAAACAUGUCACUUUAAUCGACUAGGAGGUCGAUUAAUUCCAUAAACAGCACAUGUGGUCGCUAGACCACUGGCUACAUUAAUUAAAAUGCCUUUGAAUACAAACAUGAAUGCUGUCACUCCAUUUCACAGUCCACCCUAAUGGUACUUCAUCUUACAAGGAACAUGAAUUUUACGACUGAUCACUAGCUAAUAUGGUGGUGUUAAUUAACUUAACACUAGGAAAACAAAGUCAAAUUAAGUUAUAGGUUUUUAAUUUUUAUUAUGUACAGAAACUUAAUUAUAUCAUAAUAUUUUCCCUUUAAUUACCUCAUCAUUCUAUGAUCAGUGUAUAUACUGUUGCAUAUUUUAUUAGAAAGGACAUCUGUCACUUCCAUAACUCAAUUUGACAACCAGAGGUCGACGUCGAAGCAUUUUCCGGCGUGGUUUCUUGCUUGCUCAAGUGUCUAGCAAGCAUAUUUGUCUGAUCUGAUGAGUGGAAGAUGUUGUUGGUUGCAUUUGAGUAGGUAUUAUUUUCUUUAGGCAAGUCAUCUUGGCUUAGUUGAGAAGCAACAAACUUGUCUAGCACUCUCCAAUCCGUCACUGGAUCAACUGCUUGCCCAUUAUUAUUUUGGUGACCAUAGAGGGAAUGCAAGCUUUGGUCACGUGUUUGUUCUUCCUGUGAAAGAGAUGAGGAUUGCAGAGUGCUUGCCUGGUUUAUGUCUAGUCCAUAGACAGUGGCAGCUUUCAGCAGUUUAGGGCUUUGUAGAAGUGGCAGUUGAAGGAAGUGAUCAUGGCUGCUGGCAACCUGAUUAUGAUACUGCAAAUCCAACUCUUUCUUGCACGAGUAAGAGAGGUGAUAGGCCAACUCAGGCUGUGAGUUUUGAUUUGGCGAAUCCUCCUCAUGCAUGAAAGAAACCUGGUCAUCAUACCAGCUGCUUGAUUCAUGCUCGCUCGCUUUCCGGACAGUUGUUAUUCUCUUCUUGAACACCCUGCACACAACCCAACCUUCUUCCUGUUUCAAGUACACAAAAAUUCAUCAAUGUAAAGAAAUUCUCAGUGGGAAGGGCUUCGAUCAAUAAAAAUUGCUAUUAAGUGUACCAACUAAGCUGUUCCAUUUGCAUUUGAUAUUCAGCUUCACAUUGCAAUACGUAGGAUGUUGGUUUCUUGAAGUAAAUGGGUAUUUUAAUUGAAAACAAAGAAAUUUAAAUAACUAAUCUGACUAUACUUGCCUGAUGAGCAGUCCCAUUUUCAUCCGUUUCAAGGCGGUACUCGUGCAUAAUCCAGUCUGAUUUCUGUCCGUUUGGAGCACGACCUUUGUAAAAGACUAAGGUCUUCCUCAUUCCAAUCAAGUCAUGCUUGGAAUAGAUUGCUUUGUCUCUACCUGUUGCCUUCCAAAAUCCAGCUGCAGUGGCUCUAUUGGUGCGAGUUCCAGUUGGAUACUUCUUGUCUUUAUGGCUAAAAAAGUACCAUUCGUUUUGAUCUUCUGUCCCUAUUCGGCAUAUUUCUUGAAGGUCCCAUGGCUCGAUUUUAUAGAGGUCGACAUCUUUAAUGACAUCUAGGUCAAUCCUUCUUGAAUUAACUUUUUUCCUGAGGUAGUAAUCAACUAGUUCUUCAUCGGUGGGAUGGAACCGGAAACCGGGAGGAACAUGUGAAAAAGUGUUCAUGUCUCCUGCUGCUGAAUCUUGAUUCAGAUCAAGCAAAACCAAGAUCUCAAGACUUUGCAAACCACAGAUCUAGGUUGAUUGAAUCUUCCCUGAGUAGAAGAAUCUAAACCCUUGACUCCAAAAAUAGAAUGAUGAGCUAAACUAGGUGCAGCUCUAAUUGACUCCAGGUAUACACUACUGGAAGCUCCUAUAUCAAACAAGAAAAUGAAAAGUAAUUGUAAGGAAAUUUCCUCGGGAAUUGAACCCGAUUGCUUUUUGCCCUCCCACAGAAACUGUUUUCUGUCCAAUUGUCGGAUCAGAUCCCCAUGAAGAGAAUAGAAGGAAAGGAAAAGCCGAGAAGAAGAAAGGAGAACAAGUAGGGUUAUAUAAGGAGGGAAAGCAGGAGAGAGAGAGGGAGGAAAAUAAACAAAACAAAACAAAACAAAACUCUCAUAGCUCUCACCUUAGCUGGUAGUUUAGGACGCGUGUAUUUUUACGUGUGUGUA
rnacentral:misc_RNA from 1 species